rnacentral:pre_miRNA from 1 species
UUAAUACUCCCUCCGUUCCAUAAUUCUUGUCGAAAUCUUACAUGUAUCUAGACACUUUUUAAGAAUAGAUACAUUCAUUUUUGGGCUAAUUUGAGACAAGAAUUAUGAAAUGGAGUGAGUAGAUA